rnacentral:rRNA from 1 species
UACGAAGGGGGCUAGCGUUGUUCGGAAUUACUGGGCGUAAAGCGCACGUAGGCGGAUCGAUCAGUCAGGGGUGAAAUCCCAGGGCUCAACUCCAGAACUGCCUUUGAUACUGGGGAUCUCGAGUCCGGAAGAGGUGAGUGGAACUCCGAGUGUAGAGGUGAAAUUCGUAGAUAUUCGGAAGAACACCAGUGGCGAAGGCGGCUCACUGGUCCGGUACUGACGCUGAGGUGCGAAAGCGUGGGGAGCAAACAGG